UGUCCGUAGGUGAACCUGCGGAGGGAUCAUUACUGAGUGAGGGCUCACGCCCGACCUCCAACCCUUUGUGAACACAUCUUGUUGCUUCGGGGGCGACCCUGCCGGCACUCUGUCGCCGGGCGCCCCCGAAGGUCUCCUAACACUGCAUCUUUGCGUCGGAGUUUAAAACAAAUUAAACAAAACUUUCAACAACGGAUCUCUUGGUUCUGGCAUCGAUGAAGAACGCAGC
rnacentral:misc_RNA from 1 species